UAUGUAGUUGAGUUCCUAUAGGUUUUAAAAAUUCUUUGGAAUUAUAUGUGGCACACUAUGCAUCAGAAGCUGGCAAUGGUAAAGCUGCUUUUAAUGAUGUUGACCAAUGCCUCAGAUCCUUGGAGUACCUUAA